CUCACCUCCCACGUCCAUCUCAGGGCAAGUGACCAACAGAGAAAAUUUGUUUUCUUUAUAGAAAAAUUAUAGCUGAUGAAGAAUGAAUGAAUGAUGGAGUUUCACCAUUUUGAGAGCCCUAAUAAAAUCAUGAACUUAAUUAAUGGGCAUCAAUCAAAUGGCAGAAAGAAUUUGAGUGGGAAAAGCUGAUGGGAACUUCAUUCAUAUCAGAGAGACCACAAGGACAACAACACCUAUACUGUCCAAGUGGUCUUCCAAUAAUAUGCAUAAUAUGCAAUACAGUAAUAUACAACACUACCAGUAGGGUGUCCUUGCCUUAAGCUAAAUGUUACCAACAAAAAAAGAAAGGGGGGGGGGGCAAGAAACUGACUCAGUAGAACCAUCAUAGGAACUCACUCAGUCAAAUUUAGAACACUGAAAAUUCUACUCAGCAACAACUGUAUUUUUCAACAUGGGAGAAAAUAGAAAAGAGCGGCAGAAAAUGUAAUGAGGCUUUCCGGAGCAGAUCAAAAGCAAGUUUCUGAAGAUAAACUUGGAAGCGAUAAGGGAAAAGUACACUGCCAAUAGAGAUUUGUCACCUGAGAACAUGGAACAAGGCUACGAAAUCUAUUCAAGACCUGAAGCACAUGGUGAAGAUAAGUUUUACCUGAUUUUACCGGGGAUUUACACCACAAUGCCUGGUGAGUACGAAACGUUCGUAAAAACUCUUUCUUCCCAGGGAGAACCUUACAGGACCCCAAGUUGCUAAGGAAAGGACAUGAACAGCCAGUCACCACCGUCUUCAGCAGAUGUGCCAUGCUGCUUUAUGCUCCCAACGGUUCAAAUCCCCAAUCCCUUGAAGGUAGAUUACUAAAAAGAAAGAGAAGAACAUGUUUAUAUGCCAAGAAAAAAGUUACCUUGUCAACUGAGCUUGAAAAAAGCAUAUAAAUUGUCCAUCUAAAGGGUCUGCGUCUGGAAUACACUUGUAUGCUGCCAUCUACAAAGAAUUUAAUUGUCAAGUCAUUUACUUGUGGACAACACUUCAAAAAUC